AAUAUACUCCCUCCGUCCGGAAAUACUUGUCCUAGAAAUAGAUGUAUCUAGACUUAUUUUAGUUAUAAAUACAUUCAUUUUGUACAUUUCUAGGAGAAGUAUUUCCGGACGGAGGGAGUAUUUC
rnacentral:pre_miRNA from 1 species